rnacentral:lncRNA from 1 species
AAUGGGAGUAUGACUUGGGCAGCUCCAGCUGGCUCCUCUGCUAGUCUUGCCGCAGUCACCAGUUUUGGAGGAAUGGGAGAGGAGCUUUCCACUCCUCUGAGAGUCAUGUCGAGAGUCUGUCUUAGCCCUCGACCCCUCAGUCUUUGUAGAUCUCAUCCCAGAACCCCGAGGGAGAGGUAAUUGCUGAAGGAUUUUUGCUUCAAACAGGCUCUUGUUUGCAUCAAGUGUGGGGUGCAGCAAAGUGGACUCGGGACUGGCCGAUGUCUGGCCAGAAAUGCCAGGCAAGGGAAACAGUGACUCUAGUGGGGUCAGGAGAGGGGCAUCUGCUGGCCCAGGAGCGCAAGGCAGAGGGGUGAGGCGACUCUGAGGCAGGAGGUCCAAGUUUGCUGGACAAUGGCAGAAACAGAAUUCAAACACCUGUCUUCUAGGAGAAGUUCUGGUCUCUCCUCGGUGCUGCGGCUGCCCCGGGAAGAGUUUCCAGGAGCUGACAAGCAUUCAGAUGAGUAAAGAUGGGAUCGGAUUGAGAAAAGGAGAAGGGAGAGCAUAUUCGUUCUCUUUCCACCUCCCUCCCACAGCCUUUCAUGCUGAUCUCAUCUGACGAAGCUGCCUCCUCCUCCCUGGACUCUACAAGCCCCUGUCAUGAUGUUUCUCAGAUCCUGAAUUCCAGCGAAACAGAUGAUACUAACAAGUUUGAAGACCCCCACAGAGGAAUGGAAUCAGUAUGAGAACACAGUUUCUUCAUCUCCCUGUCCCAGAACUUCACCCUGGACUCCUCGACCAAUCAACAAUCUCCACACUUCGGCCCACUCCAAAACUCCUAAAAUCCCAAGCUCCAAACUCCUCUGGGAGAUGGAUUUGAGGCUUCCUCCCGUUUCCUUGUGUGGAAGCCCUGUCAUUAAACCUCUUUCUCUG